CAAUAGCGUAUAUUAAAGUUGUUGCAGUUAAAAAGCUCGUAGUUGGAUUUGUGGCGUACGGUGUGUUCCGGGCACUUGUUGUCUGAGUAACCUGCUGUUGCCAUCCUUGGGUGGAACCUGUGUGGCAUUAGGUUGUCGUGCAGGGGAUGCCCAUCAUUUACUGUGAAAAAAUUAGAGUGUUCAAAGCAGACUUAUGCCGUUGAAUAUAUUAGCAUGGAAUAAUGAGAUAGGACUUUUUUGCUAUUUUGUUGGUUUGCGCAAAGAGGUAAUGAUUAAUAGGGACAGUUGGGGGUAUUCGUAUUCCAUUGUCAGAGGUGAAAUUCUUGGAUUUUUGGAAGACGAACUACUGCGAAAGCAUUUACCAAGGAUGUUUUCAUUAA
rnacentral:rRNA from 1 species